GCAUCCAUGGCUGAAUGGUUUAAAGCGCCCAACCGGGCAAAUUCGUAGGUUCGAUUCCUGCUGGAUGCA